UACAGAGGUCUCAAGCGUUUGUUCGGAUUCAUUGGGCGUAAAGGGUGCGUAGGUGGCGCCAUAAGUCGGGUGUGAAAUCUCGGGGCUUAACUCCGAAACUGCAUUCGAUACUGUGGUGCUUGAGGACUGGAGAGGAGACUGGAAUUCAUGGUGUAGCAGUGAAAUGCGUAGAGAUCAUGAGGAAGACCAGUGGCGAAGGCGGGUCUCUGGACAGUUCCUGACACUGAGGCACGAAGGCCAGGGGAGCAAACGGG
rnacentral:rRNA from 1 species